rfam:Pan troglodytes isolate Yerkes chimp pedigree #C0471 (Clint) chromosome 10, whole genome shotgun sequence.
UCUGGGGUUUCCUCUGCCUUUUUUUCCAAUGAAAAUAACGAAACCUGUUAUUUCCCAUUGAGGGGGAAAAAGGCGGGAGAAGCCCCAGC